rnacentral:lncRNA from 10 species
AAGCCGGCAGCGUCCCCGCGCUUCCCCGCGCCCGCCGCCCCAGAACUCGGGAGCCGCCGGCGCACCUGGCCGCGCAUCCUCCGGUGGGAGGUGACCACAGCUGGACACCGGGGCUUCCUCGCGGCCCGCCCGCGGGUGCAGGGCCAUAAGCGCCGCUGGAAGGAGGCGCACGCGCCGCGGCGGUUCCUGGCCUUGGCGCUCCCAGGGCGGGAGGCUCUGCGCGCGUCCGCUCUUGGGGCCACCCGUUCCAGAGCCACUCGCCAGGGCCAACCCGGGGCUCGAGACCCCGAGCUCGGGUGCGAGCAGGAUGCGGCUCCCCGGGGACGGUUGGCGCGGGUAGGAGUCCCGAAGCCCCGACCUUACCUCUGCUUCAUGCUGCAGUGUCCCUCAGCGCUGGCGUCCCAGUGGCCGGUCCGUGCCGCCCUGUCCCACAGGCCCGGCGACCGUGGAGAUUUAGGUUGCCACCGGUCUGCUCUGGGCCCCAGAGCUUCUUCAGUACUUGCUGUCUAUAGUAAGCAUCUCAAACUUUAAUGUGCAUAUGGAUCACCUGGGAAUCUUGUCAAAAUGCAGCUUCCAGAUGCAGAUUCUCACAAAGGUGUAUAAUUCCUGAUUCUCACAAAGGUGUGUAAUGUCGUCCAUGGCCCAGUGCAGAGGAACACAGGUGUUGCCGUCAGACUGCCAGGGUCCGAUCCCGCCUCCGUCACUCACCCUAGGAGCUCCCUUUAAGCCAGGAGUCAACAGCGAGAUGGAAACUGUCCUCCUUCCAGAUGUCCUCAGCAUUCUCAUUCGCGAUGUUACGUACAGCAGCUUCAUUACAGAUGUCUCCAGCGUCAUUCAAGAUGUCAGGUCCAGCAGCCUCAUUACAGAUGUCCACAGUGUCCUCGUUACAGAUGUCUACGGCGUCCUCAUCGCAGAUGUCAUAUACAGUGUCUUUGUCAGAGAUGUCCUGUAUAGGGUCCCCACAGGGGGCUAGGAGAACACAGAGUAAAGAAGAAGGAUGACCAAUAAGAUGAACAGGAAAGAAAUGAGAAACAGAGGUCUUUGCUUAGGAGCUAAAGGCCACCUUCUGUAACACAAAAUAGUCUACAAGUGGCCUUGAACUCUGCCGUGAUUCAGUGACAGAGUUCCCUCAUGUUGUCUACCCACGUUGAAGUCCAGCGACACUGCGACUGUCUUCUUUACAACUUGCAAGACAUGCUGCUUCUGCAUUUGCCUGUUGUAUGAGAUUUACACCUGUUUUAAAGCCACGUUUUGUUUCAGUUGGGCUGGUGGCCAUACACUGCACUAGCCAGUCAAUAGUGAGAUGGCUCCUCAUGGAGGCGGCUUGGCUUGAGGCUGAGGGUCUUUAACCCACAUGCACAAGAGAGUUGCCACAAGGGGACGGAAGCCAGGCUAAUAACCAACUGCUGUACAGAGUUCCCAUCUGUCCCUCCUCACCAUUUUCAGCUGGCAGGAUUUCAGCAUUUUAGGGCUUGGGAAGAUAAUAUUACUAAAUCUACUAAAAUACAUCACCCAUCCUUAUAGGCUUUGGCCAGUUGCUGAGCAAAUUAACUUCACAACUGAAGUGGGCCACAUUGGCCUGCAUGGUCCCCCGCUUCUCUUAGAAUCUGUGAGUGUGGGGCCUACUGGAGGGUGGGAGGUGGGAGGAGGGGGAGGAUCAGGAAAAAUAGCUGAUAUUAGGCUUAAUAUAUGGGUGAUGAAAUAAUCUGUACAACAAACUCUUGACACAUGUAUAUGUAUGUAGCAAACCAGAACAUCCUGCACAUGUACCCCUGAACUUUAAAUAAAAGUUUAAAAAAAAAAAAAGUCUGUGAGCUGACCCAAACCCCCGGGGAUCUUUGUGCUUUUGACACACUGAUAACUACACCGGUCCGUGGGGAGAUGCGCCUAUAACUGCCCUGGGUCGUGUGACC